GGGUGUCGGGCUGAUAGGCUCGCCCGGAGGAAAGCGCAUUACGUAGGCAAGCGGCUCCGCUCAACUUGCCACCUGCGCCGGGAGAGCUGCCGGGGAAGCGAGAUCCUGCCGGAGCCCCUCGCCCGCCGCUGGCCGCCCACCCGCCCUCCGCCAUGGACUGCUGCAACGAGGGAGCCUGCACAAAGCUGGACGAGGACAUCCUGGACAUCCCUUUGGACGAUCCCGAUGCCAACGCGGCAGCUGCCAAGAUCCAGGCUAGUUUCCGUGGCCAUAUGACCCGCAAGAAGAUCAAAGGGGGCGAGAUCGAUCGGAAAACCAAGGACGCCGAGUGCGCCAACAGCACCCGCGGCGGCGACCUCCGCAACGGCGACUAGGUACCCCCCAAAUCCCGCUCUUCCCCCCAAAACUGGGGGCCACCAGCUGCUGACCGGACACCCCUCGCCACCGACCCCCUCCCAGCGCUGCCCGCCGAGGCCCAGGAGCCCCCGCUUCACCCCCUGCCCCCCGCAUGCGUCCCCCAGGGUCCCCCCACAGCCAGGCCCCGCCCCUGUCCCUGGCUGUCCCCCCCCACCCCAGACAUCCCCCGCCCCAAUAAACGCCCCUGCCAGAGCCCCGGCCUGUCCUCGGUGCCUUCUGAUGCCACCGGCAGAGCGGGGAGGUCACAGCGGGCAGGGGGAGGGCUGGAGGUGCCAGCAGGGACCUCCCAUGUGUGUGUACAACACGCUCCAGGCACGUGUGACAUCUCUGCCAGGCUGGGACGCGACAUCAGGGUGUGCUGUGACAUCACUGUGGGUGGGAGAUGACCUGUGAGGUGCUGGCAUGAGAUGGGUGGUGAUGUCACUACUGGACAAGUGACAGCUGCUGUGACACCAUGCAGGUGUGUGUGACGUCACUGCUGGGUGUGUGACACUGUACAGGUGUGUGUGACACUGUACAGGUGUGUGUGACGUCACUGCUGGGUGUGUGACACUGUACAGGUGUGUGUGACACCGUACAGGUGUGUGUGAUGUCACUGCUGGGUGUGUGACACUGUACAGGUGUGUGUGGCACUGUACAGGUGUGUGUGAUGUCACUGCUGGGUGUGUGACAUAAUACAGGUGUGUGUGAUGGGUGGAGUGACAUCAUUCCACUGUGUGUGAUGUCACCACCAGGCGUGACUGUGGGUGUGACAUCAUACAGGCACGUGUCACGUCCCUGCUGUGUGAUACUAAGUGUGACAUCAUGCAGGCACACAUGACAUCCCUGAUGGACAUGUGACAUGCAUGUAUGGCAUCAUCCAGGCCUCAGUCAGGUGCUGUGAUGUCACACACUCAUUGUGGCAUCGCACCCCCUGACACAGGGAGUGACAUCACAGUC